rnacentral:misc_RNA from 1 species
UGGUUCUGGCAUCGAUGAAGAACGCAGCGAAAUGCGAUAAGUAAUGUGAAUUGCAGAAUUCAGUGAAUCAUCGAAUCUUUGAACGCACAUUGCGCCCCUUGGUAUUCCGGGGGGCAUGCCUGUUCGAGCGUCAUUUCAACCCUCAAGCCCUGCUUGGUGUUGGGCCUGGCCACUGUCGGCCGGCCUUAAAACCAGUGGCGGUGCCAUCUGGCCCUGAGCGCAGUAAAUCUCUCGCUACGGGGCUCGCGUGGACGCCUGCCAUGAACCUCACACUCAUCUGGUUGACCUCGGAUCAGGUAGGGAUACCCGCUGA